ACCACACUGAAACUGAGCCCGACGUAGACGAGGACUCCAUGAAUACCAGCAUGGUGGAGUCCAAGGAGGGGAGGAGUGGUGCAGAGACUGGAGAGCUCUGCAGCUCCUAUCGGCUCAUCAGUCUGGUCAGCCACCUUGGAAACCGGGUGUCAACUGGUCAUUACAUCAGCGAUGUAUAUGACUUCCUGGCUGACAAGUGGCUGACCUAUGAUGACGAGAAGGCCUCAGAGACUGAUGAGUCGGCUGUGCAGGCAAAGCGGAAGUGUACCGGAUACAUCUUCUUUUAUAUGCACAAGAAGGCAUACGAGGAUGUCCGAAAGGAGCGAGCAGGCUUGUGCAUGCAGCCUGAUUGUUCCUCAUAAAGAUGAUAGCACAAUGGCACAGGGACAGGAACCCCAUGUGAAGGAGGGGAAAGCAGCCCCCUGUGCGCUGAGCGAGUGCUGAAGGAUGUGAGGACCACUGUGUCAGGAAUCUCAGCAGUAGGAGUGCAGGAAGACUUCCAGCACCCACGCUUGCUUUGAGAUCCGACACAGUGAGAACUCCACCCACUGCCUCGCUCACAGUAGGACUCCUGGUUUGAGAUGAUUGAGGGGGGUCUGAGGAGUUAUGAACAAAUGCACAGUUCAAUCUCUAGAACUCUGCUGCCUCACAUACAGUAGGACUCCUGUUUCUUUGGUCAUUCAGUUGGAGUCCAAGGAGCUGAGGAGAAAUACAGAGACUGGAGAGCUCUGCAGCUCCUAUCGGCUCAUCAGUCUGGUCAGCCACCUUGGAAGCCAACUGCAAUGGCAUGGGGGCAGGAACCACAUGUGGAGGAGGGGAAAGCAGCCCCCUGUGCGCUGAGCGAGUGCUGAAGGAUGUGAGGACCGCUGUGUCAGGAAUCUCAGCAGUAGGAGUGCAGGAAGACUUCCAGCACCCAUGCUUGCUUUGAGAUCCGACACAGUGAGAACUCCACCCACUGCCUCGCGCACAGUAGGACUCCUGGUUUGAGACAAUUCAGGGGAGUCCGAGGAGUUAUGAAGAAAUGCACAAAACUCUGCUGCCUCUCACACAGUAGGACUCCUGUUUUUUUUUUUGGUCAUCCAGUUGGAGUCUAAGGAACUGAAGAGAAAUGCAGAGCUGUCUGGACAAAGUUGAUCAAACCAGAGGGGCAAUAGUUUUCUGAUGAGAUCCCUGGGGUUCUUUGGACAACAGCCAGGCUAACAUCGAUUCAAGAGUAAACCAUUGGAAAAUACUUUUUUUAAGAGAAUUUCAGCUAUUGGAAGAGUAUACACUGAGCAGCAGACACACAUUUGUAUCAGGACUAUGGAACACACAGUAACAGUGGAUACCUAUCCCAGGACACUGGGAAUUUCUCACAUUUGCCCUGGAAGGUAUUUUCUAGCAGUUGUUUGUUUUUGGCCUUUGCACUCCAUCUAUCCAGGAGUAUUUAAAAGGAGAUUGGCAUUAGAGGCAGACAAUCUUCUCAUAUCGUUGCUGGUGAUGCCUCAUUAAUUAGAUUACUGGUUUGUGGUGGACUACAUUUCUACCUUAUCCGGAACAGUGUUCAAUAUAGCCUGGUGGUUUUGGACUGUCCCUGUAGACAGGUGUAUGGUUAUAAAACAGUUGGUCUUGGGAGCCAACGGAUCCCCUUUAGUAUAUUUCUCUUUUUUCCUCCAUGACCGCAAUGAUUCUUUUAACUCCACUACAGAGAACAACAGCGAUGUGUGCCAAACCCUUGUAUGAGAGGGCAAUGCCACAUCCAACUCUUUUAUUCAGCUUGGGAUUGUGGUUGUUUUGCACCCAAUUGUACAUAGGUUUGGUGUUAUUCGCUCUGUCCUUGUCUGAUUGGGUGAUUAUAAUAGGACAUGGAUGAGAGAAAUCAUGUUGAGUUUCAUUUCCAGGAUAUUAUCAGAUGCCUGGAGGAGGACCUGUCUAUCUAAAGUCCACCCUGUGCCUCAAAAUGGCUGCCAGGAAAUACCCUUUCAGCUGAUGUGUGGAGGACUAACUCUACCAAAUCAUUAACUACUGUGUGCCUCUUUCCACAACUGGCCUAGCUUGAGUAGAAAUGCAAAGGUGAUUGAAAGUGGCUUGAAAUGGUAGCGCUGUUCAGAGUGACGUCAGCAUGGACAAUGUAGUAAGGAGUGCAUUGUGGGAUUCUGCAAUAAAACUGUCUUCAUCCAAAAAAAAUAAUUGACUCCUCUGUUUUCUAUGGCUUGGACUUUUAAG